UACAGGGGGUGCAAACGUUGCUCGGAAUCAUUGGGAGUAAAGCGCACGUAGGCGGUUCGUUAUGUCGGAUGUGAAAGCCCCUGGCUUAACCGAGGAAGUGCAUCCGAAACUGGCGAGCUAGAGUACUAAAGAGGAUCGCGGAAUUCCCGGUGUAGAGGUGAAAUUCGUAGAUAUCGGGAGGAACACCGGUGGCGAAGGCGGCGAUCUGGGUAGAUACUGACGCUGAGGUGCGAAAGCGUGGGGAGCAAACAGG
rnacentral:rRNA from 1 species